UUCCUCUUUGUUUCCUCUGCCACUGUCUUCUUUUGUUUCGCUUCAUCUCACCGGCUCAAGAGGAAGAGGCCAAAGGGGGAGAACCCUGCGAGGGAUUGGUGGGAGAGAGAGGGAAUAUGGGAGGGUGCUUUCCCUGCACCGGAGAGCCGAAGACGGACGACAAGGAUCCGCCCGACCUUCCGACAGCAGAUAAAUCAAAAUCCAAUCUCUCAUUCGAUGUUAAGAAAGAAACCUUAAUGAAUGAUAAGAAAGAGCUGUCAAGUAGUGGAUCAGGAUGCAUUGCUGCGCAGACAUUUACAUUUCGGGAACUGGCUGCAGCAACAAAGAAUUUUAGAGCCGAUUGCCUUCUGGGAGAAGGGGGAUUUGGUCGAGUUUACAAGGGAAGAUUAGAAAGUAGCAACCAGAUUGUGGCUAUAAAGCAGCUUGAUCGGAAUGGCUUGCAAGGAAACAGGGAAUUUCUUGUUGAGGUUCUUAUGUUGAGCCUACUUCACCAUCCUAACCUUGUCAGCCUGAUCGGCUAUUGUGCAGAUGGAGAUCAAAGGCUUUUGGUUUAUGAAUAUAUGCCAUUAGGAUCACUGGAAGACCAUCUUCACGACCUUUCCCCAGAUAAGAAGCGGCUUGACUGGAAUACACGAAUGAAAAUAGCAGCUGGUGCAGCGAAAGGAUUAGAGUAUCUACAUGAUAAAGCCAGUCCUCCUGUUAUAUACCGUGAUUUAAAAUGCUCUAACAUUUUGCUUGAUGAGGGUUAUCAUCCCAAGUUGUCUGAUUUUGGCUUGGCUAAGCUUGGUCCUGUAGGUGAUAACACACAUGUAUCCACUAGGGUGAUGGGUACAUAUGGAUAUUGUGCACCUGAAUAUGCAAUGACAGGACAGUUGACACUAAAAUCAGAUAUUUAUAGCUUUGGAGUUGUUCUUUUAGAGCUUAUCACUGGAAGAAGGGCGAUUGACAAUUCUAGAGCUGCAGGAGAGCACAAUCUUGUUGCAUGGGCACGACCAUUGUUCAAAGACAGAAGAAAAUUCUCACAGGUGGCUGAUCCAGUGCUUCAGGGUCAGUAUCCUCCAAGGGGUUUAUAUCAGGCGCUUGCAGUUGCUGCAAUGUGUGUGCAGGAGCAACCAGCUAUGCGGCCCCUAAUAGCCGACGUCGUUACAGCUCUUACAUACCUUGCUUCACAAACUUACAACCCCGACAACCAACUGAGUCAGAGCACCUCUCGCUUGGCCACACCGGGAACACCCCCUCGAACAAGAAGGGACAUCGAGAGGAAGUCAGGAUAUUGAGAACAGCCAGCGGAAGAACCUAAUGAGUAUAAAUGAGUCCAUGUGACACUCUUCCAGGAGCUAAUGGCAUGAAUCAGCUCAGCUGGCACAUUAUGAACAGCAAUGUCAUAUGACUGCCAGCAGGCAAGUGGUGGCUUCCUCAGCGGUAAUCGGUGUACUAUCAGGCAUAAAUGGCAUGAAGGCCACUAGUUGUUGCCUCAGCAUUCUCAGGUGAUCUGUACACCAGAAAGGCUGUUCACCUACUCCCAGAAGUUGAUAGAUAUGGAAGGGCGAAGUUGAUGAAGAAACCAAAUGCCGAGAAACGGAUGAAAUGAGUCCAUAAACUUGCAUCGAGGAAGAUGGAAUUCCUGAUGGGUUUGGAUGUGAAGAGUCAAUUGGUUCUCGCAGACAUCUCCCUGAUGGUUGCUGCUGCAACAAUGGCGAUUUGGUGGACAUCAUUAGGAGGCAUUCGAUCAUCAUUUUGUUGCUGCUGGCAGCUGCUGCAAAAUGCAUGGCUUCCCCAAGUCUCUUGAGAACAACUGAACCAGUUCAAGCUCAGAAGCUAUCCGCACUGCUCUGCCAUUUACGGCCAGCUUAUUGUGCUUAAGCUGAGAUGUGUCUCAGACAAGCAUUCAAGUUGUGCCGCUGCUUGGUUGACCUUCCAUCAAUCUGCACCAGUGUCUGCUUCACGGCCUUCUUUCUCACAAAGGUGAGAAGAUUGCCUGUUCUACACAGUCGAACUACAUCUGUAGUAAGUUCUUUGGCUUGCCCACCUGCAAAAGAGAUACCAUCAACAGA